rnacentral:rRNA from 1 species
AGUGAACGCUGGCGGUAGGCCUAACACAUGCAAGUCGAACGGCAGCACAGUAAGAGCUUGCUCUUACGGGUGGCGAGUGGCGGGCGGGUGAGGAAUACAUCGGAAUCUACUUUUUCGUGGGGGAUAACGUAGGGAAACUUACGCUAAUACCGCAUACGACCUACGGGUGAAAGCAGGGGAUCUUCGGACCUUGCGCGAUUGAAUGAGCCGAUGUCGGAUUAGCUAGUUGGCGGGGUAAAGGCCCACCAAGGCGACGAUCCGUAGCUGGUCUGAGAGGAUGAUCAGCCACACUGGAACUGAGACACGGUCCAGACUCCUACGGGAGGCAGCAGUAGGGAAUAUUCGACAAAGGGCGCAAGCCUGAUCCAGCCAUACCGCGUGGGUGAAGAAGGUCUUCGGGUUGUAAAGCCCUGUUGUUGGGAAAGAAAAAAAGUAGAUGAAUACCUCGCUGUUCUGACGGUACCCAAAGAAAAAGCACCGGCUAACUUCGUG